UACGAAGGGUGCAAGCGUUGUCCGGAAUUAUUGGGCGUAAAGAGCUCGUAGGCGGUGUGUCGCGUCGGCCGUGAAAACCUGGGGCUCAACUCUGGGCGUGCGGUCGAUACGGGCAUCACUUGAGUUCGGCAGGGGAGACUGGAAUUCCUGGUGUAGCGGUGAAAUGCGCAGAUAUCAGGAGGAACACCGGUGGCGAAGGCGGGUCACUGGGCCGCAACUGACGCUGAGGAGCGAAAGCAUGGGGAGCGAACAGG
rnacentral:rRNA from 1 species